AAAUACUUACAGGUGUCUUGAAUAGCUUACAGAGAAGUCAGAACAAUGUGCCAGACUGUAUUUCUGAAGCCUUGGGAAUAGAUUUGAUUAUGUUUGAGUUUUACAGUAUAUACAUUUUCUAUAAAACAUAAAAAAAAUUUUGUCACAAAUUUGACACAAAAAGCAUUGUCGUGCUUCUAGAAGAACUAUACUCUUUGAGGCAUUGAGAUUCCUCAGCCCUAGGACUUCCAAAAUCAGUUUUAGGUCAAGUUAUUAAUACAAACUUUUUUCUUAACGUCUUCAUUAAUUCAUUUUUUUUUUUAAUGUUAAAGCCCUGAGCAGUGGUAUUUAAAUAUCCUGAGAAACCCCAUUUAUAUAUACAAAUAUGAACAAAUCUAUAGAGGAUUUCUACAAUACCAUUCAUAGGUGUGUUUAAAUUAUGCUUAAUACCACAAAUUAGUACUGUUGAAUUUUAAAAUCUAUUACUUUUGUUUUCUUUAAUACUGAGAACUCUAAAGAC
rnacentral:lncRNA from 1 species